rnacentral:misc_RNA from 1 species
AAGUCGUAACAAGGUCUCCGUUGGUGAACCAGCGGAGGGAUCAUUACAGAGUUACUACUCCAAACCCAUUGUGAACCUUACCUAUGUUCUGUUGCCUCGGCGGCGUGGUCAGCGCCCCCUCUGAAAAGAGGACGAUGUCCUCCCGCCGGCAGCACCAAACUCUUUGAAUUUUACAGCGGAUCACAGUUCUGAUUUGAAAACAAAAAACAAGUUAAAACUUUCAACAACGGAUCUCUUGGUUCUG